UUGAGUAUACACGCUAGGUGCUCAGGAAAAUUCCCAGCGUCUGUGAAACCAAGUCAAUGGCUCCAGCAUGCUACGGAUGAUGAUGCCAAUGGAUGUGGCUUCGCCUCCCCCACAUGCCCCGCUUGGCAUCUUGAUCUGUGCUGGACUAUAAUUGGGAGGCCGAUGAUUUCUCCCCUCUCCGCACCAAUACCAUGGUUGCAUGAUAAGGUCCCUAUGGUUGAGAAAAUGCUAUCAAGAAAAGGAUUAUCUACUGAAUGCAUAGAAGCUUCGGUUCCUGUUCAUCUACAUUAAUUCUACUUAGAUGACUAUACUCAUGAGGAUAUGUACUGAGUAAUGAGUACGCAUAGAUAGCUUCGGUUCCUGGCCAUCUACAUUCUACUUAGAAGACUAUAACUCACAAGGUCUCGAGUUGAAGGUUGCACUCCCUCUAAGACACAGUCAUUGCGAUGCUUCCAAAAUCAUCCAUGACACCAGCAGCGUCGCA